rnacentral:rRNA from 1 species
ACAAUGCGGGACUAUCAGUCUUGCAAUUGGAUUGAGAACAAUGUACAACUCUUAUCGAUAAGCCAUUGGAGGGCAAGUCUGGUGCCAGCAGCCGCGGUAAUUCCAGCUCCAAUAGCGUAUAUUAACGUUGUUGCAGUUAAAAAGCUCGUAGUUGAAGUGUGGGUGAUGGUGGCUGAGAGACUUCGGUCACUCGACUGAUCGUCACCCCCUUCCAGUAUCCAGUAGUGGGUAUUCAGUUACUUACUAUUGUGUGUUGGUCCUUUACUGUGAGAAAAUUAGAGUGUUCAAAGCAGGCGUUUGCUUGAAUAGAUUAGCAUGGAAUAAUAAUUGAAGGCUUUCGUGUUCGAUUUGAUUGGUUUGUUCAUGGAAGCAAGGUUAAAAGGAACAGUUGGGGGUAUUCAUAUUCACUAGUUAGAGGUGAAAUUCUCGGAUUUAUGGAA